UGCCGUGGGAGCGAUUAGGAUUUUCAAGAAGAGUAAAAUCACUUACGAAUCACUUUUUACUUACACCUCGAUGUGUGUUUCUUAUUUAUGCGAAAAUUGAUCUAAAUCUUCGCGAUUGAUAUGUAUAUUACAGACAAUCAUAGUUGAAUGGAGAUUAAUCAUUAUUUCGCGUAAAAGACAAAUUGCCACUCUACGAUGGUUUUUUUUACUUCGAUUUUUAAAUAUAUUCACAAUCAGGCUUGAGUUUCGUGAAUUCUACAAAAGAGAAAAAGGAAAAAAUAUCUGGACUCAAAAUUGCAUCCUUUUCGUUUAUGCACUUCGAAUCUAAGGGAUAUCAGUAUAGUUUUGUAACUGUAAAUAAAAUCAAUUGUAAUAAUUUAUAAGGUUCCAGCUGCUUUAGACGAAAAUGAAAAUACAUGUAUUCCUUUUGCCUUACGCAUUCUACCUCGUAGUUUCGCUGAAAAUCGAGGUUUGGAACUUCGCCAUUUUCUUAUAGAAUGCGUGACACACCGGUAGAAAUGCAACGAGGAUCGAUGUAUUUUCUUUUACAAAGACUGUGCGAACGUAAGGAGAUUCGUGAGAAUAACUUUUACCAAUGACUCUUGAAAUAAAUGUAUUUUUAUUUAAAAGUUGCAUCAAACGCACCAGCGUGUCAUCAGAAGAGCCUCUCCGCGCUCUGCAGUCGUCAUUUCCCGGUUGUGAGAGAGAAUAUAAUGAAUCGUGUUCCGGUUGUAGUUGCUCUACAACGCAUUCAAAGAAGCGAACAAAGAUCUCGUAACAUAAUUUAUCUUCUGAUCUUAUGUUUGCGAUCGCUUUAUCAGCUGUACCAAUGUGACUUUCAUUGUAACCAACAACUGUCAAUAUGUCUCAGUUUUUUAUAUCAACUUUCACUCCGUCAUUCUUUACGUAUGCACAAACAGCAAAAUUUCUUUGAAUUUUCGUAAGUAGAAAGAGAUUUCAUAACGCUCACUUGAAAUAUCGGGUAAUUUAAAAGACAUUGUAUAUUAUGUAAUUAAUCACAUAAUCUUAUCGGCGGAAGCCUAUUUAUCUAUAUUUUUAAGAUAUCGCGUUUUAAAUUGUCUAUAAUAUUAAACCGACUUACCUUAUCAUACGUAAAUAAAUAUAUGAGCAUCUAUUUAUUCUGAAAUUCAUCUAGACUGUAAUGUUUCCAAUUUAUAAAGGUGAUUACGUGGUGCAAUAUAGAAGAUUUUAUAUUUGUUUAUAAUUUCGAGAUAUCAUGUUUCUAUUAUAUAUAAAUAUUACAUACAAAUGUUAGUGUUUAUAACAUAUAAAUAAUAUCACUGUGAUAUAAAUAGCGUUACUACUACAUAUAAAUAAGUAUGUACCAUGAAUAAAGUUGCUUUGCAUUCCUAAUCAAGCCUCCAUCUUCGAAGAAUAAUUUUCCAUGCUGCAUUGUUUUCAGAGGCAAUGUAUCGUACUCUAUGUAUAGCCGGAAAUAGUUUGUCCUCUACUAUUAUCAACAUCGUGAUCAGUUUCCGGUGC